GUUGCUCUGCCGUGCCUGUGACCUCGGGGCAAAGAGGAAGUGGCGAUUUCUACACUCAGUGCCCGGGAACCAGUGGGCACUGAGAAUGGUUUAUGGCCUGACAUG
ensembl:snoRNA SNORA17B small nucleolar RNA, H/ACA box 17B